AGGCCCAGUGCUGCUCAUACUCUGCCCUUGUCUCAGCCUUCAGGGCACCCCAAGUUUGCUGUGCUCUAAGAAAUGGGGGCAACUCUCCCCACUCAGAGCCUGACCACAUAGCAGAGGGAAAUCUUCCCAGCUUCCUCCUCCAGAAAACCAGCACACAGACCCUCUUCUCCUUAAGGAUUUUACUGCUACUUACUAAAGAGAAGUAGAAAAGACCACAACAAGCAACACAUCUAGGAGUGUUAAAAACACCCCAGCAGAAAAUUAAGACCAGAUGAACCAGCCCACUCCUGACCCCAAGCUCUUCUUACCAUCUACAUCCUCCAGUGGAUAUAAAGAGGAAAUGAAGGCAGGUGACAGCUCCCUCACCUCAGGUGGACACUUUGCAAUCUCUGAGCACCUCAUCCUAUUGAUAGUUUUGUACCCUCCAGGAAUGAUCAUCUUGGAGUGUCACCUUUCAAAGGGACACAGAGUCAAGUGCCUUGGGGGCCAGGCAGGUGGUGUAUAUGAGUGCAAGUGAAGAAAAACCAACUCUAAUUUCCAGAGCGGGAGAAAACCCAUGUGGACCGAGGUCAUCAGAAGCACACCUGUCCUUGCAAGCAUGAAACCUAAUUGCCACAUCUGCUGAUAUUUUUUUCAAGAGAAGUCCAAAAUUCACAGAUUACAAUAUGAAAUCUCUAAAUCUUUUAAUUGACAAAAAAGAUUAACAGGUUAAUUAAUUGACAAAAAGUACAAAAAUUAAAACAAUCAAUCAAUA